CGAACGCUGGCGGCGUGCUUAACACAUGCAAGUCGAACGCUGAAGACCUGGCUUUUGUUGGGUUGGAUGAGUGGCGAACGGGUGAGUAACACGUGAGUAACCUGCCCUCUUCUUUGGGAUAACGCCCGGAAACGGGUGCUAAUACUGGAUAUUCACUGGCCUUCGCAUGGGGGUUGGUGGAAAGGUUUGUUCUGGUGGGGGAUGGGCUCGCGGCCUAUCAGCUUGUUGGUGGGGUGAUGGCCUACCAAGGCUUUGACGGGUAGCCGGCCUGAGAGGGUGACCGGUCACAUUGGGACUGAGAUACGGCCCAGACUCCUACGGGAGGCAGCAGUGGGGAAUAUUGCACAAUGGGCGAAAGCCUGAUGCAGCGACGCCGCGUGAGGGAUGGAGGCCUUCGGGUUGUAAACCUCUUUCGCUCAUGGUCAAGCCGCAACUGUGGGUUGUGGUGAGGGUAGUGGGUAAAGAAGCGCCGGCUAACUACGUG
rnacentral:rRNA from 1 species